rnacentral:rRNA from 1 species
CUACGGGUGGCAGCAGUGAGGAAUAUUGCACAAUGGGGGGAACCCUGAUGCAGCAACGCCGCGUGGAGGAUGACGCAUUUCGGUGUGUAAACUCCUUUUAUAUGUCAAGAAAAUGACGGUAGCAUAUGAAUAAGCACCGGCUAACUCCGUGCCAGCAGCCGCGGUAAUACGGAGGGUGCAAGCGUUACUCGGAAUCACUGGGCGUAAAGGACGCGUAGGCGGGUUGGAAAGUCAGGUGUGAAAUCCUACAGCUUAACUGUAGAACUGCACUUGAAACUUCUAAUCUAGAGUAUGGGAGGGGGAGAUGGAAUUAGUGGUGUAGGGGUAAAAUCCGUAGAUAUCACUAGGAAUACCUAAAGCGAAGGCAAUCCCCUGGAACAUUACUGACGCUAAGGCGUGAAAGCGUGGGGAGCAAACAGGAUUAGAUACCCCUGUAGUC